UGCCUCCAUUUGAGAGUUCUGUAUUACUAGCAGCACCCUUAAAGGAAGGGUACAAAUGAUUGCUCAUUACCCUGCUCUCUUCCUAUCUGCCCUGGGGUUGAGGUACAGUGGGGACUUGCAGGUGUAUAGGAAGAGUGGGUGCCUCUUCCUGAGGCCCUUGACGUUCCCUUGAUGCCAGUAUGCAGGGCUACCUGUGGAAUGGUCCGUGUUUGUGCGUGUAUGUAUAUUUAUGGGCAUGGGUGCAUGCUUGGUGUGUAUUGUACAUGUCUGUAUCCAUGUGUCCCUGUACAAAGAUGAUACUCAUGUGUGGGCGUAGGAGCCUAGGCUUGGCUGUCCUCUUCCUUAGGACCUGGAUCUUAUAGUCUCAUCUCCUAUGGCUCCACGAGAUGCCCGAGACAGGAAGUCCUUGGGGGAACCUUGAAAGCAAGACUAGAAGGGAGUACAGGGUCUGUCUGUCUGUCUGUCUUUCAGUCUGAGAAAUGGAAUCUUCCUAGGUAUAGGGAUAUGCAGCUGAGAGCCCACCACUCCCUCAGCCCCUCUUGGCUCUCUACAUCCUCCCCCUGCCACCUCAGCAUCUCUUGGAUGUAGCUCUGUCUGGAGUAGUUUGCCAGGUGGUGGCUGCUCUGACAAACAGGCAUGAAGGGCUCUAUGGCUUCUCUCCUCCCAUUGAGGAACACCCUCCAUGGAACCUCUCCUUCAAAGAGCCUUCCUCUCUAGUUCCUCUAGGGAUUGAGAGGUGGCCACAGAAGUCAGGGCAUCCCAGGGACUGAUGGGUCCAUCUGAGCCAGGGCUCUCUCCUGAGAUGUCUGUGGAUGUUUCUGUGAUACCUUCCCCCUUGAAUGAAAUCCUUACCCCACACUCUUGGUACCCUCAGCUGCUUCAUUGAUAUCCUGUUCCAGGCAUUUCAGGGCUCCUGCCCACAAGUGACCAAUUCAGGGAGGGAGAAGGACCCUGGGAAAGCACAGGUCUGCUGGGCUGGCCUUCCUUCUCAGAUAGUACAAUAGUUUCAAUUAGGCAGGAAGAGGCCUGGCCAUGGGCUGAGAGACCACCCUCAAGAGGUGGGAGCUAAAGAGUUUCACAUAUAACCACAGCAUACACUGGGAAGUUGAGGGGCAGGGAACCCAGGACCAUUCCCCCAAUAUGAAGAGAAACCGAAUUGAAUGUGAAAGUGGGCACAUUCUCCAGGAACCACUGGCCUGUGACCUCUAGACCCAAGGAAGCCUAUACUGGCGUCCAGCUGGCCUCAUUCACCCAAGGGUCACAGUGGUUAAAAGGGACAAGCUUGUUGAAGCUUUGGAAACAAAGAUUCAGGGUGGGAAGAUAGGACUCACCCAAGUAGAAGGAAGGGCCCUGGGAAAUGUGUAAUUUAAGGACACCAAUAAUAAUAAUAAUAGUAUUAUUUUUUUUGUAAAUGAAAAUCAAUAUGUACAUUCUGAAAUCAUUUUCUCUGUAAAUGGUUGAAUUUCAUUUCACCCUUAAAGGGAUGCUUAAAGGAGAAGAUAAUAUUAAUAAUAAAACAGCUGAGAAGUCUG
rnacentral:lncRNA from 1 species